UAAAAAACUUUUUAAUAUUAUUUAUUGUAUUAGCAAGGCCCCCGCGCAAGGAUAACACGCAAAAUCGUGAAGCGUUCCACAUUUUU
rnacentral:snRNA from 1 species